rnacentral:lncRNA from 1 species
CCACGCCUCUCAAUACUUGGAUAAAUGUAGGGACGCGACACGUGACUCCGUAACCAAAAUCAAGUAUGGCGGAAUCUGUCAGAAAAUGAUUAUUUCGCCAGUAGACUUCCCUAGCGAUAAAGUCAACAUAUUUAUUCUGCAUCUUUCUCGGGACAGGGCCGCCUCUUGGAACUUCUAGGCUGGUACAAGUGAGCGGGUGUCUCUGAUUGGAUUACCUGAACAGUAGGCUGUAAGGUGGAGGACUGUUUCCUGUUGCUGACCAGUGAAGACACUUGUGGGUGGUUGUGUUUCCUGUUGCUGAUCAGUGAAGAGACCUGUGGGUGAUUGUGUUUCCUGCUGAGGAGUACUGUGGCCCUGAUCUUGGUACACAUCAGACCAGCCCCCUUCCCUACACACACACUAAACCCCCCGACCCACCCACACACACUCCACCUAUCCCGUCGUCCUCCUCUCCAGGCUGUAUAUUUUACAACUUCACUGUGGAUUCUCCAAGGACCAUCCUGUCAACAAUGACAUCACACAGUCACCAAGAAGGACUCCUGGGCAAGGAGCAGCAGCUGGAUGUCCUGAAGACGUCUGCCCUCAACCACAUCCCCACAGGUAGGAGACCAACACAUUACCUGUCUGUCUUUCAUUAUGUGACUGAAUGUUGACCAUUGUCUUUAGACUGUGUGUUUUUUAAGGUCUGUCGUCACACAAAGCUAAGAGGAAAGCAAUCCGGCUUUCUUGGUGGAGAAACGUUAUGUGUAGUAAAACUGAUAAGAAUGCAGAAGUAAUUUCAUAAAAAAACAUUUGCAGGUUGUGACGUUUAACUUCAGAUUAAACCAAAUAAUUUACAGUCAUGACUACUGGUUUCAAUUUAAUUUGCAGCAAAUACUUUACGAAUUUAUUGUAACAAAUCAUCUUGCAAGGUUGCUAGCCAACUAGCCUGCUAACGUUAGCACUACUAGCUUGCUAAUAUUACAUUAGCACUGGGUAAG